GGCCGGUGAUCUCAUGGUUGAAAGGUAUUAACACCACAUAGAAAAAGCCCAGAAAAUAAUGCAGUCUGAAAUUCUGGUAACUGUAUCCUUGGGAUAAGAAAAAAGAAGAAUGAAGAGAGUAAAGACUCUGUAAACCAGUAAAGGACAGGAAGUAGAGCCCAAAGCGUUUACCAUAUGACUAAGAGCACUAAGGUAGAAUGCCUGAUGUCUGGGGAAACGAGACAAAAUGAAGAAUUUAAAUAGCAAAAGUCUAAAAGGGGGGAUGUAAUAGAUUCCCUCUCCACAGAAAUUCAUUAAAUGAUGAGAACUCUGCACUUAGGAAAAAGGAAGGUUGAGAGAAGUGAGUUAUGAUGAGGACAGUGACAUCAUAAUGAGCACAGACAAGGCCAACACAAACCAGCUCAUCUUCAAGCACGAAACACCAGACCUGGGACUGAGGUAAAGUGGAAGGUGGACAGGAGAGCUGAAAAACUCAAGCAAGCUUUUAUUUAGGACAAACAAGACCCUGCCAGCAAGUCCGAGGCACAGAGACACAGAGAGAGAGAGGCAGAGACACAGGCAGAGGGAGAAGCAGGCUCCAUGCAGGGAGCCCGACGUGGGACUCGAUCCCGGGUCUCCAGGAUCAGGCCCUGGGCUGCAGGUGGCGCUAAACCACUGCGCCACCAGCGGCCACCAGGGCUGCCCUUCCCUAAGCUUUCAAAACACCUUGUCCACACACCUAUUAAUUGCAGACUUCACAGUCUAUUGGAGGGGACAGAGUGAAACAUAAUGGUGACGCCUGCAAUAAGUUGUUCUCAUCACAAAACGGUGGUCAGAGCUAUAAAGAAGUCUGUACAAAGAUGCUACACCAGACCAGGGAAUAAGCAGCCUCCUUGGCCCAGGUGUGGUGCCAUCCAGGAGAGGAGAAGAGUCAGCAGAGAGGUGAACACAAUGAGUUCAGAGUGGGGCCUGUGGACGUCCAAGAAGAGGUACAUGGAAGAAUAUGUGCAAAAACUUGCAUGUAUGAGAGAGGCUGGCACCCUGGGGGACCUGAUCUGGUGGCAGUGGAGGGACAGAGCAGUUCUCUGGACAACUCUGGCAGGACUACAACAUGAGAACUGGUCUGACUUCAGCAUCCCUCCAUAAACUCCUCACAUCACAUCCCAAGGAGGAGAUGAGACAGGAAGAAGGGGAAGAGGUAGUGUUACUGGAACCCGGGUCCCAGAGUCAACCAGUGGAAGCUGGAACUAUGCAUAUGCACAGGCCUUCCAACCAGUGGAAGUUGGGACUAUGGAAGAAGAAUCAUAACUGAUGUUGAAGAUGCCACCAACAGAGAAGGAGGAGAAAACAUCUCUACCUCUUCUCCUGCCCUCCAACCUCUUACUGCCAGAGAGUCAGAAAAUAUACCUUGCAGGCGUUGGCAUGCCAGUGAUGUGGAGCAGAGCGGGGGAAGGAGAAGAAUAGAUCUGAGAAGCAGGCCUGGAAUGCAACAUGAUUUUAGAUUAUACUGAAUGUAUUGCUAUGGAUGCAUUUACCAGAGGUUUUUAUUUCAAUAGACUAGUUUGAGUAACCAGACGUGUUGUAAUUUGUUCACUUUGUUGGUUGACUGGAUCUUGGACUAACCAGUGAUCUAAUAAACCAGGUUAAGAUGCCUUGAAUUCCUUGGUAUACAAUAGAAGAGGGGAGGUUGAAUUAUUGAGUACAUUGCCAUAUGCACUAUGUUCCCCACUCACUAACUGUAUCCCCAGAAUGGGCCCAGAAGACAAUCCCUCUCUGAAAGCAUUAGUGAGCAUUAAUACUGUCAUCUUUGAAAAACUCUAUUGUGAUUGUUCUUUGUAAGACUAGAAUAGUUGUAGGAAGCUGCAGUUGACAUGGACACCUGAUUUCAGUAAUGUUUUCAGGAUCCUAGAGCAGUAGACCCCAACCGGUAGCAUUUAACCACUAGAGGCAAGGUGGACAUGGUUACUUACAGGCAUAAAGGAAGGGAAUUUGGAUGCUAAAUGAAUAACAAACGCUCACUCUGUCUACCUCUUGGCUUGCCCAUUGACAUAACCCCUUUACCCAAUACUUACACUUCAAAAUAAA